GACGAACGCUGGCGGCGUGCUUAACACAUGCAAGUCGAGCGGUAAGGCCCUUUCGGGGGUACACGAGCGGCGAACGGGUGAGUAACACGUGGGUGACCUGCCCUCAGCUCUGGGAUAAGCCUGGGAAACCGGGUCUAAUACCGGAUAUGACUCCAUGACGCAUGUUGUGGGGUGGAAAGCCUUGUGCGGCUGAGGAUGGGCCCGCGGCCUAUCAGCUUGUUGGUGGGGGNGA
rnacentral:rRNA from 1 species